AGUGAACGCUGGCGGUAGGCCUAACACAUGCAAGUCGAACGGCAGCACAGUAAGAGCUUGCUCUUACGGGUGGCGAGUGGCGGACGGGUGAGGAAUACAUCGGAAUCUACUUUUUCGUGGGGGAUAACGUAGGGAAACUUACGCUAAUACCGCAUACGACCUACGGGUGAAAGCAGGGGAUCUUCGGACCUUGCGCGAUUGAAUGAGCCGAUGUCGGAUUAGCUAGUUGGCGGGGUAAAGGCCCACCAAGGCGGCGAUCCGUAGCUGGUCUGAGAGGAUGAUCGGCCACACUGGAACUGAGACACGGUCCAGACUCCUACGGGAGGCAGCAGUGGGGAAUAUUGGACAAUGGGCGCAAGCCUGAUCCAGCCAUACCGCGUGGGUGAAGAAGGCCUUCGGGUUGUAAAGCCCUUUUGUUGGGAAAGAAAAGCAGCAGGUUAAUACCCCGCUGUUCUGACGGUACCCAAAGAAUAAGCACCGGCUAACUUCGUG
rnacentral:rRNA from 1 species